rnacentral:rRNA from 1 species
AGAACGAACGCUGGCGGCAUGCCUAAUACAUGCAAGUCGAACGAACUCUUCGGAGUUAGUGGCGCACGGGUGCGUAACGCGUGGGAAUCUGCCCCUUGGUUCGGAAUAACAGUUGGAAACGACUGCUAAUACCGGAUGAUGACGAAAGUCCAAAGAUUUAUCGCCAAGGGAUGAGCCCGCGUAGGAUUAGCUAGUUGGUGAGGUAAAGGCUCACCAAGGCAACGAUCCUUAGCUGGUCUGAGAGGAUGAUCAGCCACACUGGGACUGAGACACGGCCCAGACUCCUACGGGAGGCAGCAGUAGGGAAUAUGGACAAUGGGCAAAGCCUGAUCCAGCAAUGCCGCGUGAGUGAUGAAGGCCUUAGGGUUGUAAAGCUUCUUUACCCGAGAUGAUAAUGACAGUAUCGGAAGAAUAACGCCCGACUAACUCCGCGCCAGCAGCCGC